rnacentral:rRNA from 1 species
UGGGGAUAUUGCGCAAUGGCCGAAAGGCUGACGCAGCGACGCCGCGUGUGGGAUGAAGGUCCUCGGAUUGUAAACCACUGUCGGGAGGGACGAAGGCCCCGCAAGGGGAUUGACGGUACCUCCAAAGGAAGCACCGGCUAACUCCGUGCCAGCAGCCGCGGUAAUACGGAGGGUGCGAGCGUUGUCCGGAAUCACUGGGCGUAAAGGGCGCGUAGGCGGCCCGGUAAGUAGGGGGUGAAAUUCCACGGCUCAACCGUGGACCGGCCUCCUAAACUGUCGGGCUUGAGCACGGUAGAGGCAGAUGGAAUUCCCGGUGUAGCGGUGGAAUGCGUAGAUAUCGGGACGAACACCAGUGGCGAAGGCGGUCUGCUGGGCCGUUGCUGACGCUGAGGCGCGACAGCGUGGGGAGCAAACAGGAUUAGAUACCCUGGUAGUCCACGCCGUAAACGAUGGGCACUAGGCGUCGGGGGGAGCGACCCUCUCGGUGCCGUCGCUAACGCAAUAAGUGCCCCGCCUGGGGAGUACGGCCGCAAGGCUG